AUUUUACUUAUUUAUUUAUUUAUUUAUUCAUUUAUUUAUUAUUCCAUGUGUGUGAGUACUCUGUCGUUGUCUUUAGACGCCAGAAGAAGGCAUCGGAUCCCCAUUACAGAUGGUUGUGAGCCACCAUGUGGGUGCUGGGAAUUGAACUCAGAACUUAUGGAAGAGCAGUCAGUGCUCUUAACCGCAGAGCCAUCUCUCUGGCCCAGAAGAGGAAGAGCUAAUUCAUUUCUGGAAUCCUGGGCUACUGAGCCCCUACUUCCUGUCCCAUUUGUUUAUUUAUUAAAUAUAUUCUGAGACAGGUUCUGACCAUGUCACCCUUGCUGGCCUCAAACACCUUAUGUAGAUCAGGUUGGCCUCGAACUCACAGAGAUCUGCUUGCUUCAAUUGCCUGAAUCUUUGGCCAUCAUGCCCAGGUAUUCCCUCUUGUUCUAAUGAUAAGAGUAAUUUGGUUUGAUACGCAGUGUUUACUAUGACUACAUAAAUGUGCUCAUCGCUCAACUGUGCAGUGGGCUGUGCUUGUAUUUCCUUCUCUGUUCACUUUAGGGUUUCCCUGUAAUUGACACUUGUCCGUGAGUUCUAUGGCUAGAGUGUUCAUGCUCUACAAUUUGUCCCUGUGACCAAGCUGGAUCCACCCCCCAGGAUUUGGAGGUACAAUGUGACCAGCUGCCCCCAGCUCCCUCUGUUGUGCCUAUCCCACCAUGACAGGCUGUACCCUUAAAUAAUGAGCCCAAAUAAACCAGGCCUUCAGUUGUUCUUGUCGGGAAUUUUGUUUUGGCAUAAGGAAAAGAACUGACACAGGAUCUGUGGAGAAGUAAGCGGGUACUCCAGCAGCCCAUGGCCGGAUUUCAGAAUCGGGCAUGCUAGCACGAAGAAGGCAUAGUUACGGAGAUGCGGAAUAGCUUCCGUCCUGACUCUAGGGACAGUGCCAGGAACUGAAGGGUACGGAGUACCUGGUCAUUUCUGAUUGCUGUGGACAAUUUAAUGAGGAGGAACUUGGAGCUGGAUGUACAUUCUGGGUUCAGAGCAAGUUCAGGAAAUGAGACUCUUGGCGUGGUGGUUGAGAGAGUCUGCCUCCCAGCCGCAGGACAGAGACUGCCAAAGGUCAGUGUCUGAAUCCUGUGGAUUGUCAAGUUGUAAAAUCUUCAAAUCCACAAAUCGCCAGUGCUGUGAUGAUGUCAUUGGUAAGCAGUGAGCUUUCUCAGCCCGAUAGGGGCAGAUCACAUCUGUCGGAGUUGUGUGACAGAUCCCAUCCUCCAUAUACACUUCCAGGGAGUCAGGGCUUGUAAUACAUGUUGUGUCUACCUGGGCAGCAUUGAAAUGAACCCCAAUAAUGACUGCAGCUGACAUUAAACACGCACUAACUCAAGACGACCUCCCUCUCCUGGUCUGCUGGAUCACAUGAGGUCUGGCAUACAACUAGUCUUGAUCAUUACAUCAAACAAGUUUUACACUAUACAGAGUGACUGCCAGUAGCGACAUCUGUAGCAUCAUCAUUAAUAAAACCAAAAGGCAUCUCUGGUGAAUGGAAAACCCAGAGGGAAUAAAUAAUGUUCACAAAUGUUACCCUGGUGUACACGUGCUAUAACAGCCUUUUGCUUUCAGGCUUUCCCUUCUGUGUGUGUGUGUGAGUGUGUAUGUACGUGUCUGUGUUUUUAUAUAGUUCAGAUUGGUCCCAUACUCAAGGCUAUCCUCCUGUCUCAGUUUCCUGACUGCUGGCAUUAGAGAUGUGUGUGUGUGUGUGUGUGUGUGUGUGUGUGUGUGUGUGUGUGUGUUUGUGUGUGUGUGCAUGCGUGCAAGGCCAGCAGAAGGCACAAACCUCUGGAACUGGAAUUCCAGGCAGUCCUGAGACUUCUGUGUUCAGAACCACAUUCAGCCCCUCUGUAAGAGUAGCACACAUACUUCACCUUGAGCCAUCUCUCCAGCCCCCAAUUAGAUUAAUUGGGGCAAAUGCAGAUAUAUAGAAAAUAUCUGAAAAUGAAAGACGAGACACUGAGGGCUGCUGAGAGGGCUCAGUAGGUAGAGAGGCUUGCGGCCAAGCCUGACAACCAGAGUUCCAUCCCUGGAGCCCACAUGGUAGGAGUGAAAAGUUUCUGUGACUUGACCGGAUGACUUCCACAUGAAUGCUGUGGUCUACGCGUCUGCUAGCUGGCAUACAUGUAUGCACACACAGAUACUAAAUAAGUUAACAAGUGUAAUCUUUAAAAAGUUGAAACAUUGUAUUUGUAAAUUACUGAUGAAAUGGCAAGACUAUAAAGCCCCUGGAGAGGGUGAUUGACAAGCAGACUGCUAAAGCCCAGUUCUGCUCUGGACACAUCACCACACCAGGCCACCUUGACUUUUAGUGUCUGUUUCACCAGGGAGCACAGGCAGUGGGGAUAGCCCUGGAUCAGGCAAGGGGAGGAAUCUGGAGGGUCUCCUUUCUAUACGUCUGAGACAGGAAAGCAAGGGUGGCACGGUGGAGUCACAAGUCAUCUCUUGCUGCCCUCCAAAGGACACCAGGCAAGUGCAGAACCAGAACUCUGGCAUUGGACAGGAGAAGAGACUGCUCUGAAGAUGACUGCUCACCAGCUGGGUGGGCCGGGAACCUCGAGGAUUUAAUUUAAAACAGUACCAGUUAUUGAGUCUCUUGGACUUCCUGCAGAAGCAAAUGGAAACGUUCUAUGGGGAAACCACUUCAAGUUCCAACAGAUACCUUCUAAGGAAGACGAGAAAUGGUUUAAGGUUAAAAAAAAUAUGAGGGAAUAGACCCGAGUUCAAAAACAGCAGAGCAAACGGCAACAGAGACCUCAGCUCUCAGGAGUGGCGUGUGCAUCACGAAAGCUUCGUAUGUUUAAAGAAAUGAAUGAUGAGUGUGCUUAUAUAGAUGAAAAUUAAAAAAAAAAAAAAAGACUAGAAACCACCCAAGCAGAUUUCCAAAAGAGUCAAAUAGACAUCAUAGGUGAAAAAUAUGGUUACCGGUCAAACAGAAAAUCUACUGACAUCCAGAGGAGAAUGGGUUGCAGCUAUAAGUUCCAUUGGAUAGCAUGAAACGUGAGUGUGCGGAAAGACGAUUGGUGGAGAAAUGACAAACUACAUGUAAUAAAAUGCGGGUGUAAAUCUA